CAGCUAUAAACAUAAGGUUUGGACAAUACAGUCAUCCCUUGCCCACUGUGGGUUUCCCAAUCACGGUUUUGAGUAUCCACGACUGGGAAAUCGUGGCAGGUCUCACCAACCACGGCUUGAUUAUCUGCAAUUUGAGCAUGGAAAUGGAAGGAACCAGACUUUCGUCUCUGCCGUUCGUCUCUCUACUAUAGAAGCUGUUCCUUGAAGUACUUUCAAGAAAGCAAGAACUUCAUUAUGUACAGAGUGCCAAGUAGCAGUCAAGCAUGAACCUCAGUGAUUACUCUUUCUACAUGUUUAUGAACGCUUCAGGGAUCUGUGGCUAAACCUAUUGAGUCCCUUCCCCCUCUCUUAGAUCCUUCUUUUCUUUAGCUUCACACAACAAUUUCAGGCAUUUUAAAUUAAUGUUUAUUGUGACACAUGGAGCAAGGUGAAUAAAUGGUCUGGAACAAUG